CAUGGGGCUCAUAGCUGUUCCCUAUUUUCCUGAGGACUAUGAGAGUGAGUCUAUGAAAGAUACUGAGGUGGUGCUGCAAGUAGAGAUAAGGAAAGAUGAAAAAGUCUACUUCUCUGGGAGCACAAYGCUGCAAGGAUGCCUUAGUGGAGUCAAAAUUUGGGUCUAUCAUGACUUCAGGCUCACGAUGUCCAGGGAUGCUUCAUGGUCUACAAUAGAUUUGGGUCAGAGCCCUUGAGUAAGGAGAUAAAUCAAGAACUAUUUGAGUAAUAAUUCCUGGGAAGCCCCAGAAUCAGAGUGAUGAACCUUUGGAUGCUCUUUGUAGUGUGGAGAGUUCAAAAGUGCUGAGCUUAUAUAUCUCCAAGGAAGAUGUCACAGAGGCAGUAUGAGAGACUGAGCUUCCGUGAAUGACUUAAUAAAUUCACUAGAAGGAAGAGGACUACAAGUUCCUAUUGUGUGUUCUACCCAGUCUGUGAACUGCAGAGCUCUGCCACAACAGGUAGAUCUAGUAGACAGCUAUGGACCUUGUAAUAAAGCCUUUGAGCAGUGUAGCACACCUGGUUUCAACAUCUGUCCUGAACCUUUUCAUGGAACCUUGGCAAACCUUUCUGCAAACUCGAUCCAAGUUURGAGAAACCUCCAUGAGGAAAGAAUUAUUGUUUUGGACAGAAACAAGGUGAAGAUUCACCUUGAAGCAUUUCACAGCUUUGGAGCUUGCUGUAUCUGCCCAUGCUCCAGGCUGUGUUUGCUGUGGGUUUCUUGGUGUCACAGAUYCAAAGAAUCAUGUUGGCUGGAAGAGACCUCCAAAGAUCAUGUGCUCCAACCUCCUGACUCAAAACCUUACCUAUUAUUUCUCUAAAAGUGCAACUGAUCUUUUACUCUAGAGAUCCCCUCUGCUCUUCUGAGACAUGACACACUUUCAUCUUUCUUAAUGUUGUUACCAGUCUCUCAACAAAUAAGUCUUAAAAUCCUGACCUUUUUGAAUGUUUACUAUAGGCUGUAUUGAAGCCUUGAUGACUAUGAUGCAUAUAAUAGACCAGAGGAAACAAGGAAUAACAAGUUUCGUUGCCAUAGCAAAGGAUGAUCCAGUACUUUGGGAUCUAAAAAUAUUUCCUUCCUAUUAACCUCUCCAUUGUAUCUGCUCAAGGAGUACUGCUUGUAUUUUUAAAUACCAUCGGGGGGAAAAGGAAGAAAGAAUUAAUUCAUUAUACAGAGAACAGAGUUUUGGCCUGGAUGCCAAAUAGAGUGGUAAGCACAGUGGCAGGUCAGGAGGCUAGAGUUGAGAGUGGAAGGAUGGUUUCACAGUUGAAAGUCUGUGUUGAGAUUUGGAAAGGCUUAGCUCUGUUAUUGGCCCAUCCACAUACCCCUCACAUGAGAUUGGGAUGAUCCUUAUGUUUUUCUACUUCUGAUUCCUUCUGGACUCUUUUUCGUCUAGGUUUUCUGAUGAAACAUUUARUAAAGGCUGCUCUGUGCAUAGAACCAUUAUAAUGCUAUUAUUGCUAUUAUAUAUAUAUACACAAAAAAAUUAUAUAAUGCUAUUAUUAUUAUGCUGUAAAAUGUGGUCCACUUGACAACAGGGUGUCCAAGGACACCACUUGACGAGGAACCAUAAAUGCUCUAAUCUCAUAGGUUUGAAUACUGCUGAAGUUCCCUGAGCUUUAACAGUGAUGGACCUAGCGUCCAUGCAUGCAGAGCUGGUAGAAUUACAUUGCCCAUGAGCAUUUCCAGUGUAAGCACGGAAAGUCAAAAAGAUGGAAGAAUUACCAGUCUCUCCCUAGUUCUGUACCCUUCCCUUCCUUGGACUAUUCUGAUCUGCUAGAUUGAUCUGUUUCCAAGAGAUACCACACUCAGUUCAUGGAUGUAAAGUAGAUUUAUGUAAGAAAAGUGAACUCGAAGUACUUUAUUGCUGUUUCUGAUCAUCCGUCAUGUUUUGUAUAGCAUUUUAAACAGAAGUAGUCCUAUUAUUUCUGCAAUUUCUACUUUUUCCUUAAAAUGAAAGCUCUCAUUUCACUGUUUUGCAUUAAACUGCAUAUUGAGUUCUUGCUCUGCUGAGGUAAAGGGAGAUGAUAAAUUUCAAAUGGCAGAGUAUGAGUUGGAGACCAAAUAGGGAAACUCCUUGUUCCAGCCACUUGGGAAGAGCCUUGAAAGAUAUUCCUGGAACAAUCUGCUGCUCUGUCAGCUCCCAACAAUAGUCUUUGGGGUAUGUGCAAGCGAUCAUUGCUAUACCAUAAUGAGCCAGGAGGUCACCUGAGAUGUGAAAGAAGGCUGAAGUCUGACUGCAAUUGCUGAAAUUGUGAAAUCCACCUCUUCCUUGUCCUUGGCAUGAAAUUGUCAGGAGUUGUGCCACAUGGCCUCACAUCUACUCCAAUGGAAAGGGCAACUAAGGUAGGACUCCAGGCAGUUGGCAGAUGUUGGAAGCACACAUCCACAUCAUCUCAGGCUUUGGCCCUGAUCUAAGAGCUUACUGAAAACUGCAAGGUCUUCCAGGGAAUAGCUGACUCUGUUCUUUCUCUGUUUCUUACGUUAUGUUUUCCUAGGCAUCUCUCUUUGGCACUUGUUGCAAUCAAAAUCUUUCUUUGGGUCRCGUUUGCUUACGUCUUUUGUACUGAUCUUAUCUCGGCACAGGUUGAAAUCGGACAGUUUUGAUUUUCCUUUCCUUAAAAUGAAGUCAAUGCCAUUGGGUUACCGUGAUAUGUAGAAGAGUUAGGUUGAGUUUUCKAGCUAGUCCAUGGCAGGGCACGUCUAAACUGAGUGGUUGAUCAUGGUUUGCCCCACUCUGAGUUGGRACUGGCAAUGCUGAGCUGGAACAUAACCCAAGACAGUGGAGAGUUUUCUAGUUUUGGGUGCUCAAAUACAGCUAUAUCAUUUCC